UACGGGGGGAGCAAGCGUUAUCCGGAAUGAUUGGGCGUAAAGCGUCCGCAGGUGGCUGUGUAAGUCUGCUGUUAAAGAGUCUAGCUCAACUAGAUACAAGCAGUGGAAACUACACGGCUAGAGUACGUUCGGGGCAGAGGGAAUUCCUGGUGUAGCGGUGAAAUGCGUAGAUAUCGAGAGGAACACCUGCGGCGAAGGCGGGUUGCUGGGCUGAUACUGACGCUGAGGCGCGAAAGCUAGGGGAGCGAACGGG
rnacentral:rRNA from 1 species